AACUAAGGCAAUUAAUUAAUCUAUGAUUUCGAUCCCAUCUGAUCUCGGAAGCUAAGUGGGGUCGGGCCUGGUUACUACUUGGAUGGGAGACCACCUAAGAAGACCAGGUGCUGUGGGCA
rnacentral:rRNA from 1 species